rnacentral:rRNA from 1 species
AAAGGGUGCGUAGGCGGCCAAUUAAGUCAGGGGUGAAAGACGGUAGCUUAACUAUCGCAGUGCCUUUGAUACUGAUUGGCUUGAAUACACUAGAGGUAGGCGGAAUGUGACAAGUAGCGGUGAAAUGCAUAGAUAUGUCACAGAACACCAAUUGCGAAGGCAGCUUACUAUGGUGUGAUUGACGCUGAGGCACGAAAGCGUGGGGAUCAAACAGGAUUAGAUACCCUGGU